GCGGCAAGUCGCAACACCCAGGCCUGCACCAGGUGUAUCGAGGAUGGCGAAUCGAAGCGCGUCGCGGGUGCGGCCGAGCGCGACGAAGACGGUGGAAGAGCGCAGAGGCCGCGCGGACGGUGACAGGACGGAUCGGGUUGGAGUCCGCGAAGCCGGAGUUGGCUGCGGCAGUGGUUGCCGCCAGCCCGAGGACGGCGAAGGAACGUAGGGGGUCGGCGGCCGGAUCCAUGCGACGACUCUUUCACUCUCAUCCCACCUCCCUGUGCCCGGUAAUGGCGCCCUCAUUCACAUGGCAAGCUACUCCUACAAGCCCCAAUGGCCAAGGGAGGAUGCGGCUGGACCCUUUUAUGUACCUAGGGUAGACGGUUGGAAGGGGCGCCGUCCAAAUCGCGGAUGCCGGUCACGCGGCCGAAGACUUCGGCAUCAGUUCUGUUGGGAGGUGGAAGAUCUGACGAGUCGACCCCUGUGUCAGUGAGAGGUAAAUGGCGCCCCUGAGUAAGCCGCGAGGCUGACACGGACAGCCCCACACAACGGCGACACCAGCAAAACGGUGUGGAACAGGAUGACGGGCUGCGCGGGGAAAACAGUAAAGUGGGCCGAAUUGGAUCCCACAGCCCAGGUAGGCUUUUUAUCCCUUUUUCUUUUCU
rnacentral:lncRNA from 1 species